rnacentral:tRNA from 1 species
AGCCGGAUCGUCUAAUGGCAGGACAGCAGUUUUUGGUGCUGCACGUCUAGGUUCGAGUCCUAGUCCGGCUGCCC